CCAUUACUUCUGUGUAAUGCGAUGAGAGGACGGAGAAGGCUAAAUCAGCCUGGCGUUGGUUGUCCAGGUGAAAGGAUGUAGGCAUGUAUCUUAGGCAAAUCCGGGGUACUCUAUGCUGAGAUCUGAUAGCAAGCUGUACUUGUACAGCGAAGUGGUUGAUGCCAUGCUUCCAGGAAAAGUCUCUAAGCUUCAGUUACACAGGAAUCGUACCCGAAACCGACACAGGUGGUCAGGUCGAGUAGACCAAGGCGCUUGAGAGAACUCUGCUGAAGGAACUAGGCAAAAUGGUACCGUAACUUCGGGAGAAGGUACGCUGUUGUUGGUGAUGGAACUCGCUUCCUGAGCUGACGACAGCCGCAGAAACCAGGCCGCUGCAACUGUUUAUUAAAAACAUAGCACUCUGCAAACACGAAAGUGGACGUAUAGGGUGUGAUGCCUGCCCGGUGCUGGAAGGUUAAUUGAUGGGGUUAGCGUAAGCGAAGCUCUUGAUCGAAGCCCCAGUAAACGGCGGCCGUAACUAUAACGGUCCUAAGGUAGCGAAAUUCCUUGUCGGGUAAGUUCCGACCUGCACGAAUGGCAUAAUGAUGGCGGCGCUGUCUCCAGCAGAGGCUCAGUGAAAUCGAAAUCGCUGUGAAGAUGCAGUGUACCCGCGGCUAGACGGAAAGACCCCGUGAACCUUUACUGCAGCUUGACACUGAACUUUGACCUUACUUGUGUAGGAUAGGUGGGAGGCUUUGAAGCUGGAACGCUAGUUCCAGUGGAGCCGUCCUUGAAAUACCACCCUGGUAAUGUUGAGGUUCUAACUCUGUCCCGUGAUCCGGGACGAGGACCGUGUCUGGUGGGUAGUUUGACUGGGGCGGUCUCCUCCUAAAGAGUAACGGAGGAGUACGAAGGUGCGCUCAGCGUGGUCGGAAAUCACGCGUAGAGUAUAAAGGCAAAAGCGCGCUUAACUGCGAGACCCACAAGUCGAGCAGGUACGAAAGUAGGUCUUAGUGAUCCGGUGGUUCUGUAUGGAAGGGCCAUCGCUCAACGGAUAAAAGGUACUCUGGGGAUAACAGGCUGAUACCGCCCAAGAGUUCAUAUCGACGGCGGUGUUUGGCACCUCGAUGUCGGCUCAUCUCAUCCUGGGGCUGAAGCAGGUCCCAAGGGUAUGGCUGUUCGCCAUUUAAAGAGGUACGCGAGCUGGGUUUAGAACGUCGUGAGACAGUUCGGUCCCUAUCUACCGUGGGCGCUGGAAAUUUGAGAGGAUCUGCUCCUAGUACGAGAGGACCAGAGUGGACGAACCUCUGGUGUACCGGUUGUGACGCCAGUCGCAUCGCCGGGUAGCUAUGUUCGGAAGGGAUAACCGCUGAAAGCAUCUAAGCGGGAAGCCUACCUCAAGAUAAGAUUUCCCUAGGACUUUAUGUCCUCUAAAGAGCCGUUCGAGACUAGGACGUUGAUAGGUUGGAUGUGGAAGCAUAGUGAUAUGUGAAGCUGACCAAUACUAAUUGCUCGUGAGGCUUGACUAUACAACACCCAAGCAGUUG
rnacentral:rRNA from 1 species